rnacentral:rRNA from 1 species
UCAAGCGUGAGGUAAGAGCAUUUGGUGAAUGCCUUGGCAUAUACAGGCGAUGAAGGACGUGGCACGCUGCGAUAAGCGUGGGGGAGCCGUGAGCAGGCUUUGAUCCCACGAUUUCCGAAUGGGGAAACCCAUCCUCACUAUUUAAUUUUAGCGCUGAGUAAUCAGUGUUGGAGUUAAAUAGGAAGGAUAUCACUUAGCUGAAUAAAAUAGGCUUAGUGAAGCGAACCCGGAGAACUGAAACAUCUCAGUACCCGGAGGAAAAGACAUCAACCGAGAUUCCGUUAGUAGUGGCGAGCGAACGCGGACCAGGCCAGUGCCUGGUGUUUAAUUAGCAAAAGCUUCUGGAAAGUAGCGCCAUAGUGGGUGACAGCCCCGUAUGCGAAAAUGAAACAUCAGGACUUGAGUAGGGCGGGACACGUGUAAUCCUGUCUGAAUAUAGGGGGACCACCCUCUAAGCCUAAAUACUCGUAUAUGACCGAUAGCGAACUAGUACCGUGAGGGAAAGGUGAAAAGCACCCCGAUGAGGGGAGUGAAACAGUACCUGAAACCGAAUGCUUACAAUCAGUUGGAGCCUCUUUAUGGGGUGACAGCGUACCUCUUGUAUAAUGGGUCUGUGACUUAAUGUAUCAUGCAAGCUUAAGCCGUUAGGUGUAGGCGUAGCGAAAGCGAGUCUGAAUAGGGCGACUGAGUAUGAUGCAUUAGACCCGAAACCCGGCGAUCUAUGCAUGACCAGGUUGAAGGUGCGGUAACACGCACUGGAGGACCGAACCGUUCAAUGUUGAAAAAUUGUCGGAUGAGUUGUGCUUAGGGGUGAAAGGCCAAUCAAGCCGGGAAAUAGCUGGUUCUCCGCGAAAACUAUUGAGGUAGUGCCUCGGAUGUUUUCCGAUGGGGGUAGAGCACUGGAUGGAUGCGGGGGUCGCGAGAUCUACCAAUUCUAACCAAACUCCGAAUACCAUCGAGUUAGUCCGGGAGACAGACGGCGGGUGCUAAGGUCCGUCGUCAAAAGGGAAACAGCCCUAACCUACAGCUAAGGUCCCCAAAUCAUAUCUAAGUGGUGAAGCAUGUGGGAUUUCCAAAACAACCAGGAGGUUGGCUUAGAAGCAGCCAUCCUUUAAAGAAAGCGUAACAGCUCACUGGUCUAAAUAAGAGAUCCUGCGGCGAAAAUGUAACGGGGCUAAAGAUAUGUACCGAAGCUUAGGGUGUGCAAUUUAUUGCAUGCGGUAGCGGAGCGUUCCGUAGGCCGAUGAAGCGAUCUGGUAAUGGGUCGUGGAGGUAUCGGAAGUGCGAAUGCAGACAUGAGUAGCGAUAGGAGGGUGAGACACCCUCCCGCCGAAAGACCAAGGGUUCCUGCUUAAAGCUAAUCUGAGCAGGGUAAGCCGGCCCCUAAGACGAGCCCGAAGGGGGUAGUCGAUGGGAACCACGUUAAUAUUCGUGGGCCUGGUGGUGUGUGACGGAUCUCGUGAGUUGUCAGUCCUUAUUGGAUUGGACUGGCUUCGAAGAGGUUCCAGGAAAUAGCCCCACCGUAUAGACCGUACCCGAAACCGACACAGGUGGUCAGGUAGAGUAUACCAAGGCGUUUGAGAGAAGUAUCCUGAAGGAACUCGGCAAAUUGCCUCCGUACCUUCGGAAGAAGGAGGCCCUCACAUUGCGCAAGCAGUAUGAGGGGGCACAGGCCAGGGGGUAGCGACUGUUUAGCAAAAACACAGGACUCUGCUAAGUCGGCUUCAAGACGACGUAUAGGGUCUGACGCCUGCCCGGUGCUGGAAGGUUAAGAGGAGGAGUGCAAGCUCCGAAUUGAAGCCCCAGUAAACGGCGGCCGUAACUAUAACGGUCCUAAGGUAGCGAAAUUCCUUGUCGGGU